rnacentral:rRNA from 1 species
UACAGGGGGGGGCAAGCGUUGUUCGGAAUUACUGGGCGUAAAGGGUCUGUAGGUGGCCAACUAAGUCAGACGUGAAAUCCCUCAGCUUAACUGGGGAACUGCGUCUGAUACUGGAUGGCUUGAGUGUGGGAGAGGAAUGCGGAAUUCCAGGUGUAGCGGUGAAAUUCGUAGAUAUCGAGAGGAACACCGGUGGCGAAGGCGGCGUCUGGACGAUGACUGACGCUGAGACGCGAAAGCGUGGGGAGCAAACAGG